UUGGUAGAACACAUUUCUACUUCUCUUUUACUCAUAUUCCAGUACAACAUCCCUGCGAGCACUGAGAAACAUCUGUUUCUAGCUUUCCUUUUUCUGGAAAUCAUUAUUUAUUUAAUGUUUUUCUUUUUUUCUAUGGUUUAAUGAGGCUCCUCUUCUCUGGGAUAUUCCCACAGAUAGAACUUUGGCACCUGCUGUUUGGAGGUGCUGCAAUUUCCUCCUCUUUUAUCACCAAACAGUUGCCAACCUCCUUCACAUUAGUGAAAGUGGGGGAAAAAAAACCAGAAUGACAAACCCACAACCAACCCACCACCCUCUGCUGCUGGGUUCGAACCUCGCUGGCCACAGUGCAAGUUUGGUUUUCAAACUGAAGAAAUGUUCACCUGAGCAAGGAUCAGGCAUUGUAACAGCCUCAUGAAGUUGUGAAGAUUAAACGAAGUGACACAUGUGAAUCAUUGAGGACAAUGCUGGGCAAAUAAGACAACACAAAAAGAGAGAGAAAGAUGCUGUAUUCUUCCUACCUGUGUCCCAGAAUCCUGAACAGCCGCCGGUGUGCAGGGCCUGGUGGGAAGUGACGUUGCUGCAGAAGCUGCAGUGCUGACGAGGAGGGCAGCAUCCCUCAGAGAGAAGGACACCACAGAGAGUCCCUACCAGCCAGGAGGCUCUCACCAGAUGCGCCCCCUUGACCUUGGACCUCCUAGCUUCAAAAACUGUCAUACAAGACACUCUGUCUUGCUCUCUUGAAUUGCCUGCUCUGGUGGAAGCCAGCCAGCUUCUGCCAUGUCAUGAGAACACUCAUGCAGCCCUGGGAAGAGUCCACGUGGUGAGGAACUGAGGCCUCCUGCCAACAGCCAAGUGAAAGCACCAUCCUGGAAGAGGACCCUCCAGCCCUCAUUAAGUCUGUCAAGCCUUGAGAUGAAUGAACCAACACUAUGAAUGUAACUUCACGAGAGGCUCUGAGCCAGAACCACUCAGCUAAGCCACAGUUCUCUUUAGAAGACUAAAAAAAAGAAGAAGGCAGUUCUACCAAAUUGUUUCAGGCAUCUCUCUCCUCUUCUGCUAUGUGAGUAUAAUCAUGCUAAGCUUAUUUCUACUUUAAGCACAUUACCCUAGCUGUUCCUUUUUCCUAGGGAACUUUUCUCCCAGAUAUUUGCAAGACUAGCCUUCUCCUGUCACGUAGAUGUCAGCUUUCAAAUCCCGUCCUCAGAAAUGUCUUUCCUGUUUCUAAUCUGCAGUGGCCUUGUCCCCCCACUCCCAGCUCUCUUGUUUCACCAUCUUCUGUUUUCUUUGUGGCACCAUGUCUAUCAGAAAACAUAUUCUAUCUGAUAAUUCUGGUUUACUGCUUAUGUAUUUAUUGUCUGUGUUCCUUCACUAGAACACAAGUUUUGUAUUUAUCACUCUAGGCUUUUAUUGUCAACCAUGUUCGCAGGCUUUAGUGAUAGGGUAGGUGGAUUGGAGACGGGGAAGGAAAAGGGGAGGGGAACAAAAACCAAAACUGCCUGGACAGGGCAGAUGCCAAGAACACCUGGGGCAUGGAAUUAGGAAAGGGAGGUUUGUAGGUUUGUAGAGGAAACACUUCUGAAGGGCCACAAGAUGUGUGACAAUAAGAGGGGAAAAGAACAACACUUUUAAAGAAGUGCUAUUGGGUGUGUUUAUGUUCCUUGAGAGAUUCAGGAAAAGACGAAAGUACUCUUUAAUUAUUUUGAUUGCAGUAAUGUGUAUAUAUGACCAUGAUGCCCUAUGUAAAAAGUAGCCUGGAUUUCACAAUCCAAGAGGUAGGCCUUGUUAGAACACCGUCCUCUGCUGAAAUUCUGGUUUUGUGUAUCAGUCUCCAUAAAGGUAGUCCCUAGAAUAAUACAGAAUUACUUUUGGGUCUCUAUAACUAAGGAUUCUGGAACAGCCCCUCACUCUGCUGCCAGUGGGGCUAGACAGUACUCAGCACAUAAUGAGAACUGAAGAAAUGUUAUCUCCUAGGGAGACUGCAGUGUUCAUGAGCCAGGCAGAAGGAAGAUGGUAUAGAUGGUGCUGGGGAGGCAAACUGAGGCUCUCCCCCAAUCGUAGGUCAAUGGGGGAAAUACUGGGGGGGAAAGAGAGGGAGGGAGGGACAGGGAGAGGGGGAGAGAGAGAGAGAGAGGGAGAGAGAGAGAGAGAGAGAGAGAGAGAGAGAGAGAGAGGUGGCUCUUAUUUGAAUAAAGUAUUAUUAUUGGACUUGAUCUUUUGGGAGAAUACAGUGAGAAGAGAACAUUCUAGAAAAUGGCUGCUUGUUGAAAUAGGGGCAGAAAGACCUGGUACUACUCGUUCCCCAACCUUUUAACUUGUAAAGAGUCAUGGGUUAAUAUGCUGCCCUAGGCAUCGUAAGUGUACCCAGGGCAUUUUGGUAGUUAAGUGUCAAGUAAACUGUCUGAAGGUCCGCAAAUGGGAUAUUUAGAAUGCCUGACUGAACAGAUAGACCUCUGCCCAAGAGCCUGAUGAUGAGUAAGCAGCCACUUUGGCAGAUGGCCAGGGCAAAGGGUUCCAAGUCUGAGUACCACUGAUGAGAAUGUCUCAUCAUUUGAGAUUUGAGAUUAAAACUCUAAAGACUCAAACUUCUUGGUGCACCUGUUUGCAUCCCUGGUGGGGACAGGCCUGGAGGAGAGGGGGUCUGUCUAACACACUUAAGUCCCAGCCACCUUUCCAAGUGGUCUUGACCAAGGACAGCACACGCAUUCUUGACAUGUUCACUUGUGGACCACCUUGGUGUAAGGAAAUCAGGACUGGGGGGACAAACUCGGAUAUAGCUUUCAAGAUAUGAUCAGGCAUGAAAAUGAAAGUAACAUGUUGAAUAGGUGAAAGAAAAUUUUAUUUUAAAUUCUUUUUGAAUAAUAGCACAUUCUCAAGAAAUCCCUAGAAUUAAGUAUUUUUGUCAAUUAUUUAGUAAGUGCCUAAUUUGCUCUUGCUAGGGAAGAAAAUUACAUGGUUGUUCCUAAAUUAUUAAACAAUAUUUUCAUGGCAUUGACAGAGCAAGUAGCAAGGUAUUGACCAGUCACCCUGCUAUAGGAAAACUCUUGG
rnacentral:lncRNA from 10 species